AUUUUCUCUUGAAAUAUAUACUUAAACGUGUAUUUCAUUUCUUUCUCUAAACUCCUUUAAAUACACAUUUAAACAGCUGAGAAUUGUGUUGCAACAUUCAGAGAAGUGUGAAAUCCAGUGGAUAGCUAACUUGUCAUCUGUAUAUUAGUUUGAGCGGAGUAGAUCAGGUAAUUUUGUGUUGUUGUUGUUGUUGUUGUUGUUGUUUAGUCGUUUAGUCAUGUCUGACUCUUUGUGACCCCAUGGACCAGAGCACGCCAGACACUCCUGUCUUCCACUGCCUCCCGCAGUUAGGUCAAACUCAUGUUCAUAACUGUCAGGGAACUGCCAUCGGAGCUGGAAGCGGAGGGGAGGCUCCAAAGGGAUGGCGGAGAGGGUCCCAGUAGGGAGAGAGGGAGCCCGUCUGCUGGGGAAGGAAAUCAGCGUAACACCAGUAGAGAAGGGGGGCAGAUGGGGGAAUCGGGGAGGAGGCUCCAAGACUCCUCGCCGGAGACCAGCGGAGAGAGUACGGGUACUCGACUGCCCACACCCUCCCUGCGCAGAAGACUUCCGCGCAGGGAGAGUAGAAGGAGACUUGGCAUCAAGGAACUUUUGUGCUGGAAAAAGUUUAAGAAACGCCCACUGACGGAUUCUGCCAGCGACUGAGACAGUCACGAUGCUGGAGGCUGUUCAGUCAGAAAGGGUUAACCAGGUAACCUAGCCAGGAGUGGCGGCAACUUACGCACGAGCAACCCCUAAACCCAUUACAAUAACUUCGAGAACACUGUCCAACCAUCUCGUCCUCUGUCGUCCCCUUCUCCUUGUCUUUCCCAACAUCAGGGUCUUUUCUGGGGAGUCUUGUCUUCUCAUGAGGUGGCCAAAGUAUUGGAGUCUCAGCUUCACGAUCUGUCCAUCUGUCCUUCCAGUGAGCACUCAGGGCUGAUUUCCUUAAGAAUGGAGAGGUUUGAUCUUCUUGCAGUCCAUGGGACUCUCAAGAGUCUCCUCCAGCACCAUAAUUCAAAAGCAUCAAUUCUUCGGCGAUCAGCCUUCUUUAUGGUCCAGCUCUCACUUCCAUACAUGGAUCCACAAACAUCAUAAUCCUCAAACAUCUCUGUCCCCAUAUUAAGGAUCUAUAUUCUGUUGUUCUCAUUCAAUGCAUUCCAUGCAUUCUUUUCCAAACUGAUUUAGAAUACAUGUUCUAAUAUUCCAUACCAACCAUAAAAAGGUUGUCAGUUGGUUUUUAUUUGGUUUUAUUUAUUUUAUUUUAUAAAAGGAGAAUUUCCUGGAUGCCUAGAUCCAGGUUUGGGGCAAAAACUCUCUGUGAGAGAACUCCAGCAGAGAUUUAAAAUCACAAAAUAUGCAGCAAACUAAAGCAUGGAAAUAUAGAUGGUUAGACCUUUAAAAUAACCUCUUCUAAGUUGCUUCCAAAGCUUUUCCUUUCUUCCGCUUUAGUAAUGAAAUAAACCACACAGUGAAAAUGGUUUUACUUACAAACUCUUCAAAGGUCAAAUUAUUGUCCUUUUUCAUACAGCAGCAAGAAAACACAGGCAGUUUAACAGCAUCGAAAUUGGUAAAUGUUUCUAAAUUAUUUGUAUAAAAACACAAAGAUAGUGUGCUUAAGCCACACAGUUUGGGCUUGGAGAGAUCAGCCCACACAUCCUUCCUCAGUUACAGGGUGGAAAGAGGAUGAACAAAGGCUAUGCUAACCCAAGAUGAAGGGGUGUGACCUAGGUCAGUCUAGGAGGACUGCUUAUUCUAUUAUCUUAACCCCUUCAUGCAUUAAUUAGAGCCAAGCAUGGUGGUUAUGAGAGGCUGAAUCAUCCCACAAAGAUUCCAUAUCUUGCCUUUCCAUCUUGUUUCUUUAUUGGUGUUUUUAAAAACUCAAUCACAUCUUGAAUAUUUUUUUUGGGGGGGAGAGGAGGCUGACUAGGGUAAUUUGCUUGCUCCGGUUAGGUGUUUUUUUUAAAAUAAAAACCUACAUGAUGUCCAAAUAUUAUGAUUAGGUGUAAGGUAUUUGGAAAUGAUCUGUCAGCUUUCUGUAUUAUGAUUAUUAGGUAAUACUGCUUCUUGUCAGGUUCUUUACCUCUAUGUCAAAAUCUUUAGGUGAAUGUAACCAGCAUUAAUUUGAGCUUUUUUUUCACCUUAGGUUUCCAGCUGGAAGGUAAAUAAUAACAUCCAGGAGCCUUAGAGUUCUGAUCUAUUCAACCAGAAGCAUUCCUCCUAGGAAUUUUAGAUCAAGAUAUAAAAAAGGAAAAUUGGAAAUUAUUUAUGUACAUAACAACAGCGGCAAGAAUUAUAUUAGCACAAGCUUGGAAGACAGAAGAAAUACCAAGGAAAGAACAAUGGCAAGGGAAACUUAUGGAAUAUGAAGAACUGGCAAAACUAACAGAUAAACUACAUGAAAAGGACAACAAAGACUUUAAAAGAGAAUGGGAACCAUUUACAAUAUAUAUGAAGAGACAACAUAAAGAACUGGACUCAUUGGCAGGAUUUGAGUAAACAAUCGCAAUUGUAUAGAA
rnacentral:lncRNA from 1 species